rnacentral:rRNA from 1 species
UACGGGGGGGGAAAGCGUUGUUCGGAAUUACUGGGCGUAAAGGGCUCGUAGGCGGCCAACUAAGUCAGACGUGAAAUCCCUCAGCUUAACUGGGGAACUGCGUCUGAUACUGGAUGGCUUGGAUCCGGGAGAGGGAUGCGGAAUUCCAGGUGUAGCGGUGAAAUGCGUAGAUAUCUGGAGGAACACCGGUGGCGAAGGCGGCAUCCUGGACCGGUAUUGACGCUGAGGAGCGAAAGCCAGGGGAGCAAACGGG